rnacentral:lncRNA from 1 species
UCGUCGCCAUUUUGUUUUUGGUGGUUUUUGUCUGGCUUCUUUACCGCAACCUGUUUUAUCAGCAAAGUCUUUAUAACCUGUAUUUUGUGCUGACCUCCUAUCUCAUCCUGUGACUUAGAAUGCCUUAACAACUGUCUGGAAUGCAGCCCGAUCUGUGGAGUGGCUGCAGCACCUGUGUUUCAGCCUGAAGAAUGGGCACAGACUGAAUGGAUGCUGCCAUACCAUCACACUGGAAAUGAGGAAUAUAACACCAUGAGGAAGAAUGGUUGUUUCACACACUGAUAUUUCAUGAUUCUGAAGAAGAAUUGGAGGUGAGACUUGAGAAAAUGGAGAAAAAGAUAUGCUUUGGAUUUUCUUGAAGACUAGAAGCUUUCUUAACCAUCCACCACCUUGUUGACUGGUUAUUAUUCUCUCUACCUUCUGUGAAACAAACUGAUGGAUACUAAUGGCACAAUUACACUUAUAGCUAGUCAGUUGCAUAGUUUAUGCACAUAGUUCUGCUUCCAGUGUUUAGUAAUGAGUUAAACAUUUUGGCUAUAUUUGUCUCUGAAGCUAUAAUUUCAAUUAAUCAUUAUGUAUAGCAAUAAUAACAAGUAAAACAAAAAGAAGAAUUUUUUGUUUCUAUGGUAAUUAUGUUGGGUGCUUUGGAUCCUCCCAAUAAAGUUGACUUCCUAAAAUAAUUACACUUGAAUUAGGUAUAGAGAAGCUAAUUGUAACAAAUUGAAAGUUACUGUAAAUCUUCUAAUCGUAGUUCUCUGCAAGUGUACUUAAGUUAUUGCUCCACUUGAAAUAAAUGAAAACUGGAAAUC